CGAGAUCAUGACCUGAGCCUAAGUCGGACGCUCAACCGACUGAGCCACCCAGGUUUAACCAAUGAGGAUAUACGUCACCUUCCACGUUGGCCACCCCUCCUGUGUUUAAACACGGCCACCCCAGCUCCUUGGGUUCAGCAGACUUCCGGGACAAUGCCUACCCCAUCUUACUGCCCACGCCCACCGCACCAUGCCUGGACAACCGCAGCCCGUGUUCUCCUCCGGUUCUAGCAAUCCACCCCCUUCCUCUCCGAAUGGAACUCAGUGUGGUGAGGCAGAACAUCAAAGUUCAUUUUUGUUUCUCUUGGAGCUGCAACACUGUGAGAUGGAUGGGGUGAGCCCUGCAUGACAGACGGGACCCAGAGAAUGGGAAAGGUCACCAGCUUACCCAGACCAAGGAGAGGCUUUUCCUGCUGGCUUCAAAGAAAGUAAAUUUCUAGGCCAUGUUAGGACCUGAAGGUGGCCUUGAGGAGAUGAAUGGACUGUCAGCCAGCGAAGAAACAGGGACCUCAGUACUGCAACCAAAACUCAAAAUCUACCAACAACCUCAAGGAGGAUGAAAGGAGAGCCCAGACUCAGAAAGAACUCAGUCCAGCCAACACGUUGAUUUUAGCCUCAUAAGACCCUGAGCGGAAAAUCCAGUUGUUCUGUGCCAAAACUUCUGACCUAUGAAAACUAUGACAUAAUAAAUGGGUGUUGGUUUAGCCUCCAA